GACAGAGGUCCCGAGCGUUUAGGCGGAAUCACUGGGCUUAAAGCGUGUGUAGGCGGAUGCCUAAGUACCUUGUGAAAUCCCACGGCUUAACCGUGGAACUGCUCGGUAUACUGGGUGUCUUGAGCCACUUAGGGGCUACCGGAACAAAUGGUGGAGCGGUGAAAUGCGUAGAUAUCAUUUGGAACGCCAAUGGUGAAAACAGGUAGCUGGGAGUGUGCUGACGCUGAGACACGAAAGCCAGGGGAGCAAACGGG
rnacentral:rRNA from 1 species